rnacentral:lncRNA from 13 species
ACCUGUUCGAUCACAAUCUAAUAUUUCGUUUUGACUCUUCCAGUAGAGGGCUGUUCGAGAGCAUGCGCACAACCGCAGCAAGAGAACAUUAUUCCUCCUGUCACCAGUGCCUGUCACAACAUUGAGGGGCAAAACGACAGCAGUGUGGUCUCUGGCUUCUAAUAGAUCUGUGAAGACAUAGAAUGUGAUUGGAAUGGAAGCUCGGAGAAGGAGUCCCUGAUUGGCCGAAAGACUGGGCGGGUGCACAUACCAAACGAAUCGAUCCUGUCUCAAAUGAUGCAGGCAGAGGAUAGGAAGAAAAGGAGUUUCAGCAAGGGCGUGGCGGAGGAAUAUUGUCUAAGAGAGCGACCAAACGAGGACACUGUAAAAAUGAAGAACAAAGUGACAAGCACACAAGCAGUGAGGGGUAAGAAGAAGGCAUGGUCGUGGGAUCAAUACCUGGGAGAGAAGAAGGUCAUAGCAGCUCCCCUAAGACUCUUCACUGAGGUAAGCAUCACCUUCAUCAACCAGUAGGUAUAUAGUGCAUUCGGAAAGUAUUUUUGUUACGUUACAGCCUUAUUCUAAAAUUGAUUCAAUUGUUGUUUUUUCCCCAUCAAUCUACACACAAUACCUCAUAAUGACAAAGCAAAAAUCUAGUAAAAAUAAAUAAAUAUCACAUUUUACAUUAGAAUUCAGAUCCUUUGCUCAGUACUUUGUUGAAGCACCUUUGGCAACUUGAGGCUGUUAUCAUUUUCUUGGGUAUCAAGCUAUAAGCUUGGCACACUUGUAUUUGGAGAGUUUCUCCCAUUCUUCUCUGCAGAUCCUCUCAAGCUCUGUCAGGUUGGAUGGGGAGUGUCGCUGCACUGCUAUUUUCAGGUCUUUCCAGAUAUGUUUGAUCGGUUUCCAGUCCGGGCUCUGGCUUGGUCACUCAAAGACAUUCAGAGACUUGCCCCGAACCACUCCCACAUUGUCUUGGCUGUGUGCUUCAGGUCGUUGUCCUGUUGGAAUGUCUGGAGUGCUCUGAAGCAGGUUUUCAUCAAUGAUCUCUCUGUACUUUCCUCUGUUCUUCUUUCCCUCGAUCCUGACUAGUCUCCCAGUCCCUGCCGCUGAAAAACAUCCCCACAGCAUGAUGCUGCCACCACCAUGCCUCACGGUAGGGAUGGUGUCAGGUUUCCUCCAGACGUGACACUUGGAAUUCAGGCUAAAGAGUUCAAUCUUGGUUUCAUCAGACCAGAGAAUCUUGUUUCUCAUGAUCCGAGAGACGUUUAGGUGCCUUUUGGCAAACCCCAAGCGGGCUGUCAUGUGCCUUUUAUUGAGGAGUUUAUUUUUUUAAAUUUUAUUUCACCUUUAUUUAACCAGGUAGGCUAGUUGAGAACAGGUUCUCAUUUACAACUGCAACCUGGCCAAGAAAGCAUAGCAGUGUGAACAGACAACAACACAGAGUUACACAUGGAGUAAACAAUAAACAAGUCAAUAACAGAGUAGGAAAAAAAGAGUCUAUAUACAUUGUGUGCAAAAGGCAUGAGGAGGUAGGCAUUAAAUAGGCCAUAGGAGCGAAUAAUUAGAAUUUAGCAGAUUAACACUGGAGUGAUAAAUGAUCAGAUGGUCAUGUGCAAGUAGAGAUACUGGUGUGUAAAAGAGCAGAAAGUAAAUAAAUAAAAACAGUAUGGGGAUGAGGUAGGUAAAUUGAGUGGGCUAUUUACAGAUGGACUAUGUACAGCUGCAGCGAUCGGUUAGCUGCUCAAAUAGCAGAUGUUUGAAGUUGGUGAGGGAGAUAAGUCUCCAACUUCAGCAAUUUUUGCAAUUCUUUCCAGUCACAGGCAGCAGAGAACUGGAACGAAAGGCGGCCAAAUGAGGUGUUGGCUUUAGGGAUGAUCAGUGAGAUACACCUGCUGGAGCGCGUGCUACGGGUGGGUGUUGCCAUCGUGACCAGUGAACUGAGAUAAGGCGGAGCUUUACCUAGCAUGGACUUGUAGAUUACCUGGAGCCAGUGGGUCUGGCGACGAAUAUGUAGCGAUAUGAGUCUGGAAGGAGAGUUUACAGUCUAGCCAGACACCUAGGUACUUAUAGAUGUCCACAUAUUCUAGGUCGGAACCAUCCAGGGUGGUGAUGCUAGUCGGGCAUGCGGGUGCAGGCAGCGAACGGUUGAAAAGCAUGCAUUUGGUUUUACUAGCGUUUAAGAGCAGUUGGAGGCCACGGAAGGAGUGUUGUAUGACAUUGAAGCUCGUUUGGAGGUUAGAUGGCACAGUGUCCAAGGAAGGGCCAGAGGUAUACAGAAUGGUGUCGUCUGCGUAGAGGUGGAUCAGGGAAUCGGCCGCAGCAAGAGCAACAUCAUUGAUAUAUACAGAGAAAAGAGUCGGCCCGAGAAUUGAACCCUGUGGUACCCCCAUAGAGACUGCCAGAGGACCGGACAACAUGCCUUCCGAUUUGACACACUGAACUCUGUCUACAAAGUAGUUGGUGAACCAGGCAAGGCAGUUAUUAGAAAAACAGAGGCUACUGAGUCUGCCGAUAAGAAUAUGGUGAUUGACAGAGUCGAAUGCCUUGGCCAGGUCGACGAAGACGGCUGCACAGUACUGUCUUUUAUCGAUGGUGGUUAUGAUAUCGUUUAGUACCUUGAGCGUGGCUGAGGUGCACCCGUGACCGUCUUGGAAACCGGAUUGCACAGCGAAGAAGGUACUGUCGGAUUCGAGAUGGUCAGUGAUCUGUUUGUUAACUUGGCUUUCGAAGACCUUAGAUAGGCAGGGCAGGAUGGAUAUAGGUCUAACAGUUUGGGUCUAGGGUGUCUCCCCCUUUGAAGAGGGGGANNNNNNNNNNCCCCCCCCCCCCCUUCCCUUCCCCAUGGGCUAGGUCGGUCUUCUGUGUGCGGCUCUGCGGCCCAUUCUGUGCCCUCGUGCAUUGAACCUCGUGCACUUUCAGUGAAUACAGCUGGAGAACUGCAAGACAAUCCCAUUGUGCGCCACUCAGGAGCCAUGAACAAUUUGACCAAUAUAUAUUGUCCUGCUAAUAACAGGGUUUAUAAUAUAUAUGUGAGAAUAUGCAACGGGCAUUUAUAUAAUUAAAAAUUAAUAAUAACAAUUGCUUUGUUUAAAAAAAUAACAAUACUUUGGGGAUUUUGUUUUCAAAGAAUAUAAAAUGAGAGAGGAAAAAGGCCAUUCUUGAACAUGGGGUGAGACAUUCUUACUAAUUUGUAAAUAAAGCCAGUUUGUUAUUUAGAAUGAUUUAUUUCUGUUUUUAAGGAGAACAAACAAAAACCUACAAUCAUCUCAUGGGUCUCCCCGUCGAGGGCGGCAGNNNNNNNNNNNNNNNNNNNNNNNNNNNNNNNNNNNNNNNNNNNNNNNNNNNNAAAAAAAAAAAAAAAAAGAAAGGUCUGCUCGCAGAAGUUUUUUAGGGAGCGUUUGACAGUGAUGAGGGGUGGUCGUUUGACCGCGGACCCGUAGCAGAUAGCAGGCAAUGAGGCAGUGAUCGCUGAGCUCCUGAUUGAAGACAGCAGAGGUGUAUUUGGAGGGCAAGUUGGUCAGGAUAAUGUCUAUGAGGGUGCCCAUGUUUACGGAUUUAGGGUUGUAACUGGUGGGUUCCUUGAUGAUUUGUGUGAGAUUGAGGGCAUAUUGCUUAGAUUGUAGGACUGUCGGGGUGUUAAGCAUAUCCCAGUUUAGGUCACCUAACAGAACAAACUCUGAAGGUAGAUGGGAAGCGAUCAAUUCACAAAUGGUGUCCAGGGCACAGCUGGGAGCUGAGGGGGGUCGGUAGCAGGCGGCAACAGUGAGAGACUUAUUUCUGGAGAGAUACAUUUUUAAAAUUAGAAGUUCGAAAUGUUUGGGUAUGGACCUGGAAAUGAUGACAUUACUUUGCAGGCUACCUCUGCAGUAGAAUGCAUCUCCUCCCCCUUUGGCAGUUCUAUCUUGAC